rnacentral:rRNA from 1 species
GACAGAGGGGGCAAGCGUUGCUCGGAAUUACUGGGCGUAAAGCGCACGUAGGCGGCUUUGUAAGUUAGAGGUGAAAGCCCAGGGCUCAACCCUGGAAUUGCCUUUAAGACUGCAUCGCUUGAACAUCGGAGAGGUAAGUGGAAUUCCGAGUGUAGAGGUGAAAUUCGUAGAUAUUCGGAAGAACACCAGUGGCGAAGGCGACUUACUGGACGAUUGUUGACGCUGAGGUGCGAAAGCGUGGGGAGCAAACAGG